rnacentral:rRNA from 1 species
UACGUAGGGUGCGAGCGUUGUCCGGAAUUAUUGGGCGUAAAGGGCUCGUAGGCGGUUUGUCGCGUCGGGAGUGAAAACACCGGGCUUAACUCGGUGCUUGCUUUCGAUACGGGCAGACUAGAGGCAUGCAGGGGAGAAUGGAAUUCCUGGUGUAGCGGUGAAAUGCGCAGAUAUCAGGAGGAACACCGGUGGCGAAGGCGGUUCUCUGGGCAUGUCCUGACGCUGAGGAGCGAAAGUGUGGGGAGCGAACAGG